rnacentral:rRNA from 1 species
CAAUAGCGUAUAUUAAAGUUGUUGCAGUUAAAAAGCUCGUAGUUGGAUUUCUGGUUGAAGCGACCGGUCGGGCGUUGAUUCGUCUGCACUGGAGUCGGUUUUGGCCAUCCUCUAGGAAAGUGCGUCUGGUAUUAAGUUAUCGGGCGUAUGAUCCUGGUCUUUUACUGUGAAAAAAUUAGAGUGUUUAAAGCAGGCCUUCGCCUUGAAUACAUUAGCAUGGAAUAAUAAGAUAGGACUUUGUUCUAUUUUGUUGGUUUGCAGACCGAAGUAAUGAUUAAUAGGGAUAGUUGGGGGUAUUUAUAUUCCGAUGUCAGAGGUGAAAUUCUUAGAUUUUCGGAAGAUAAACUUAUGCGAAAGCAUUUACCAAGGAUGUUUUCAUUAA